GGACCCAUUCGAUCAUCGCAUCACAUCAAGAUUUCGUAUGGGACAGGCACAUGCACAAACUUGUAUUCCCCUUAAAUGGUUGCGAUGGACAUUUUGGCGUGACUUCUACUUGGACCUGAAUGAUAUGGAUUUUUGGAGGCAUGUCAGGGCUUACAUAUUAUUCAUAUUGGGCUGUCACCUUCUUCCAGAUACUUCAGGUUCUGAGAUACAUUUACAAUACCUGACUAUUAUGGAGGAUUUAGCAGUAUUCAGUACAUACUCUAUCGGCGGAGCAAUUUUAGCGCAUUUGUAUAGAGAGUUGGAAGAAGCAACACGGCCUAGUAGGGCCAACAUAGCUGGAUGCAUUCAUUUGUUAUAAAUCUGGGCUUGGGAGCAUCUGCAUGUAGGACGACCACUGCUUCGUGUUCCCUUUUCAGUGGAACUUCAUGGUCUUAGUGUUGGGUUCAGGUGGAAUGAGGAUCGCCUAAGAGAGUUGCAUGUUGGAAAUAUCAUUAGCUAUAGAGAUGAGCUCGAUGGUUUACUUGAUAGUCAGGUAAUUUGGCAGCCAUAUACGCCUGAUAUUAGAGCUCAGGUGGCACAGAUUUGUCUAUCAGGGGAGGACAUUUGGACUGCACGAGUGCCUCUGAUCAGUUGAAAGAGGGUUGAGUGGCACUUGCCAGAUAGAGUACUACGACAGUUUGGAUUAUGCCCAACUACUAACAUUGAACCAAUUGAUCCAAGCUUCAAAAGGGUAGAUGGUCGUGGCAAACCAGACAUGGACUGGAUGUUGUACCACCAACCACACAUUGCCAUAUGGGAGAGUAGGCGUGGAUACAUAGUCACAGGGGACCUUCUUGACCAGCAUAAGAACUACUUGAUCCAUCAGUACAUACAGUGGUACAAGUCAUGGGCAACACUACACAUGUUGAAGGCACCUGUUGAGCCUCCCACAACGGCAUAUCCUAGAGCUCCCUCUGAGCGUCUUCUGAGGGAAUUUUUCCUUAGUACUGAACAAGCUUUGCAACAACACUUCAAUGGUUCAAAUGAUACACAAUAAUAGAGGGACAUAAACAUAGUGGCAGAGCUUUGCCGUGGUUUGCGUAGCCAGUUGUAUAUUCAAGAUCAAGGAUAUUUUGAGGAUAGAAGUGAGCAUGAUACACCAUUUUCCAUGACACAUGAACCUCCUCAGCAAUACAGUGGAUAUGCUGGACCCUCCUCUUAUCCUGAUCAAGGGCCAUCUACGGACGUCUUCAGUAGCCAGGUGCCAGCGGAUUUGGAUGCAUACCUCACACCGGAUUUUGUACCGAGCUCCCUUCAUAGAGAUGACAUAGCUGAGGAAGAAGUUGCUGAGGAGGAGCAUCACAUGCUACGUCAAAGGCCACGACGUCCUCCUCAACAUUACACUCCAGGCACUGAUGCAUUACCACAGAGGCCGCGUAGGCGACGCU